UAUAUAUAUAUAUAUAUAAAAGCUAAGUGUUGAGAAUUCAGAAAACUACAGAUUAUAAGGCCUUGAGAAAAAGCUGCUCAUAUUCAGGUAACUCUCUUUACUAAAGAAAAAACUAAUGAAAAACAGGUAACUAAGACAUCGGGGAAAAUAACAUUGCAACUGACUUGAGUGGGAUGCACCAGCACUUUGAAGAAGUGCAAAUCAAAGGCGAUGCAUGAGAAACAAGUAGCAAGCUACUUUGAUGGUUCUCUCCCUCAAAAUAUUAAUUUAAUAUCGUGUGAACUAAUAGUUCACAUAUCAGAUAUUAAACUGAUAAGAACAGAUACUACACUUGAUCUUAGCCAAAAGGCCGAGAA
rnacentral:lncRNA from 1 species